rnacentral:tRNA from 2 species
GCGGGUAUCGUAUAACGGCAUUACCCUAGCUUCCCAAGCUAGUGACGAGGGUUCGACUCCCUCUACCCGCUCCA